AAAAAGUUUUUUCAAGAGAAGUUGCACCAGCAGGGACUGGAAUGGCGCCUGGUCUGAUGGCAGUGGUUGGAGGACGUCCCAAGGUGUGUCAUAGCCCAGCUUCCCCUCUACUACUCACACCUGAAAAAAAUUUCCAACUGCUCAAGCCAUAGAAGAUUACUUCCAGCAUAUUCUGCAUAAAGAACAGCCUGAAGGGAAUUCAGUACUAAGGGCUUCCCUGGCAUCCAGCAGCCAGAGGAGCAGAGAUCUGCCUCUGCCUGCUGCGCUCAUUUCCAAAGCACUCACGUACUUACUUCCUGCUCACCCCUGUGGCCCUGCGCUGAGACAUCGGAGGGAGUCUAAGCGGCCAAAAUAAUUAACCUUACCUGGAAAGAAAGAAAAACCAAACGUAAAUCAGCUUGGCGUCGCCCACCUCUCCCAAAACGCCGUGGGAGUGCGGCCAUUGAGGAGGGUCUCUAGGCGACUGCUCCGUAAUAUUUUCCUUUUUAUCUGAAAAAAGACCUCUGUGGAGCCGUGAGCAGUUCCUCAUGCUUUUUGUCCCCCCCGCACAUUCGCCGGGUGCAGACGGUCGCAGGCAUUACAGGCCGGGUUAGUGACCACUGGAGACGGAAAUCGCUAAUUACCGAGUCGCCUUUGAUCUGCCCGGGCCGUUUGGCCUGUGACCCUGGAGGCU